rnacentral:rRNA from 1 species
GACGAACGCUGGCGGCGUGCUUAACACAUGCAAGUCGAACGGUGAAGCACCUUCCUUUUGGUGGGUGUGGAUGAGUGGCGAACGGGUGAGUAACACGUGAGUAACCUGCCCCCUUCUUCUGGAUAACCGCAUGAAAGUGUGGCUAAUACGGGAUAUUCUGGGUCUGUCGCAUGGCGGGCCUGGGAAAGAUAUUGUUUCGGUGGGGGAUGGGCUCGCGGUCUAUCAGCUUGUUGGUGGGGUGGUGGCCUACCAAGGCGGUGACGGGUAGCCGGCCUGAGAGGGUGGACGGUCACACUGGGACUGAGACACGGCCCAGACUCCUACGGGAGGCAGCAGUGGGGAAUAUUGCACAAUGGGCGCAAGCCUGAUGCAGCGACGCCGCGUGAGGGAUGGAGGCCUUCGGGUUGUAAACCUCUUUCGCCAGUGAAGCAGGCCUGUCCCUUUUGUGGGUGGGUUGACGGUAGCUGGAUAAGAAGCGCCGGCUAACUACGUG